rnacentral:lncRNA from 1 species
GUGCAGGAAGCCAACUGCAGAGUUCUUGGGGUUACCCAUUAUCAUUUUCAAUGAUUGAUGUUGGGCUUACUGUGUUGAAAUGCAGAAUGCACACAAGAACCAAGCAGUUGUUUCUUCAAGAGAGAUCAUUGAAGGCAGCCAGAAGUGAAGACUGAAAAGGCUGAGGGAAGGCUGAUUCUUGGUGGAAUGGUGGUUGUCUUCCUAGUAACCAGAGCUGGAUCUGGGAGAGCUGCGGCACGUUGUUCAAUGUAUUAGUUUGCGCCUGCUGCAUGACAAACCACGUCAGAAGUCCAUGGCAUACAAGCAGCAUCAUAUGUUAUCACGCUCACAGUCGUACAGACCAGCUGGGGCACCUGUGCAUCAGGCUGCGGAAGGCUGGGGUGUGCUCUGCUCUACUUUCCUUUAUUCUUCUGGGACCUGUGAGCUAACUUCGGCAUGUUCUUCUCAUGGGAGUGGCAGAAAUGAAAGAGGGGACUUUAUCUGGACAUGCAGCACUAGCAUCUGACGCUCAACCUGACUUUAGAGCAAAAGCUCUUAAGUGUGGACUCCAAGAGGGAAAGCCAUGAAAACCUGAGUUGAAAUCCCAGGCUUCCAUCUGAGUCACCAGGAGAACGGGGCAGCCAGGGACAGGAACACCUGUC